GACGAACGCUGGCGGCGUGCUUAACACAUGCAAGUCGAACGGGCCCGCCCCUGUUUUUGGGGGUGGGUUGAGUGGCGAACGGGUGAGUAUCACGUGAGUAACCUGCCCCCUGCUCCUGGAUAACUGCUUGAAAGGGCGGCUAAUACGGGGUGUGCCGGCUGGUCCGCAUGGGCCUGGUCGGGAUAGUUUCAUCUUCGGGUGUUUCGGUGGGGGAUGGGCUCGCGGCCUAUCAGCUUGUUGGUGGGGUGAUGGCCCACCAAGGCGGUGACGGGUAGCCGGCCUGAGAGGGUGGGCGGCCACACUGGGACUGAGACACGGCCCAGACGCCUGCGGGAGACAGCAGUGGGGGGUAUUGCACAAUGGGCGGAAGCCUGAUGCAGCGACGUCGCGUGAGGGAUGGAGGCCUUCGGGUUGUGAACCUCUUUCUCCGGUGGUGAAGGCCCUGUCCGUUGCGGCGGGGUUGACGGUAGCCGGGUAUGAAGCGCCGGCUAACUACGUG
rnacentral:rRNA from 1 species